UCUCUGGUGGUCUAGUGGUUAAGAAUCUGUGCUUCUGCUACAGAGUGCGUGGGUUUGAUUCCUAGCUGGGGAA
rnacentral:tRNA from 1 species